AAGCAUAAUGAACUAAAUUCUCAAGGACCUAUUUGUCCUUCGAACUUUAUUUGCAAAAUGACGUCAAGGACUUAUUUUCCUUCGAACUUUAUUCUCCUUCCAGCGUGGCACCGUAACGGACACCUGGACACCAUGCAACCCAUGA